CCGUGCCGCCGCUAACGCAUUAAGUAUUCCGCCUGGGGAGUACGGUCGCAAGAUUAAAACUCAAAGGAAUUGACGGGGACCCGCACAAGUAGCGGAGCAUGUGGUUUAAUUCGAAGCAACGCGAAGAACCUUACCUACACUUGACAUCCCUUGCAUUACUCUUAAUCGAGGAAAUCCCUUCGGGGACAAGGUGACAGGUGGUGCAUGGUUGUCGUCAGCUCGUGUCGUGAGAUGUUGGGUUAAGUCCCGCAACGAGCGCAACCCUUGUCGUUAGUUACUACCAUUAAGUUGAGGACUCUAGCGAGACUGCCUGGGUUAACCAGGAGGAAGGUGGGGAUGACGUCAAAUCAUCAUGCCCCUUAUGUGUAGGGCUACACACGUGCUACAAUGGCUGGUACAGAGAGAUGCAAUACCGCGAGGUGGAGCCAAACUUAAAAACCAGUCUCAGUUCGGAUUGUAGGCUGAAACUCGCCUACAUGAAGCUGGAGUUACUAGUAAUCGCGAAUCAGAAUGUCGCGGUGAAUACGUUCCCGGGUCUUGUACACACCGCCCGUCACACCAUGAGAGUUGGCAAUACCCGAAGUCCGUGAGCUAACCGCAAGGAGGCAGCGGCCGAAGGUAGGGUCAGCGAUUGGGGUGAAGUCGUAACAAGGUAGCCGUAGGAGAACCUGCGGCUG
rnacentral:rRNA from 1 species